UACGGAGGGAGCGAGCGUUGUUCGGAAUCACUGGGCGUAAAGCGUACGUAGGCGGUCUUGCAAGUCAGGAGUGAAAGCCCAGGGCUUAACCUUGGAAUUGCUUUUGAAACUGCAAGACUAGAGUCCCGGAGAGGUUGGCGGAAUUCCGAGUGUAGAGGUGAAAUUCGCAGAUAUUCGGAGGAACACCAGUGGCGAAAGCGGCCAACGGGACGGGUACUGACGCUGAGGUACGAAAGCGUGGGGAGCAAACAGG
rnacentral:rRNA from 1 species